rnacentral:tRNA from 1 species
UACCCUAUGGCUCAGUUGGUUAGCGCGUGGAGCUGUUACUUGCAACAUACUCCGAGGUCCCAGGUUCGAGCCCUGGUGGGGUAG